rnacentral:miRNA from 1 species
UCUUUGUUAUGUCAGCUGU